rnacentral:rRNA from 1 species
UAUGUGAUCGUCUCUCGCAUAUCAAUAAGCGGAGGAAAAGAAACUAACAAGGAUUCCCUUAGUUAACGGCGAGUGAAGCGGGAAGAGCUCAAAUUUGAAAUCUUAAAGGGUUUCCCUUUACGAAUUGUAGUUUAAAGAAGUGUUUUCUGUUGAGGUUUUGGUAAAAGUUCUUUGGAAUAGGACAUCAUAGAGGGUGAGAAUCCCGUAUUUGACCUUUACUUUCAACUUUGUGACACACUUUCAAAGAGUCGGAUUGUUUGGGAAUGCAGUCCAAAAUGGGUGGUAAAUUUCAUCUAAAGCCUAAAUAUUGGCGAGAGACCAAUAGCGAACAAGUACCGUGAGGGAAAGAUGAAAAGAACUUUGAAAAGAGAGUUAAACAGUACGUGAAAUUGUCAAAAGGGAAGCGUUUGACACCAGUGUUGUUUUUCUGAAGAUCAAUUAAAGAACUGUUUAUGCUAAGCUUGUUUAGACUUUAUCAGCUAUCUGUUUAGUUUUGAGCUUUUCUUUAAUAGCACUUUUCAGUUAACAAGUCAACAUCAAUUUCUUUUGCUGUAAAAAAGCUUGAGGAAGGUGGCUUGAGAUUCGUCUUAAGUGUUUAUAGCCUCUUGCCUAUGCAGUCGGAGAGAUUGAGGUCUGCAGCGUAGAUCCUUCGGGGCUAAAUGCAUUUGUGCUAAGUUAUAACAUUUUAUAGACAACUUGUUGACUAUGAUUUGUCUUGUAGCUUACUCGCUUAUGUUAUUUUACCUACGCUUAGGAUGUUGAAGUCAUCGUAUCGCGC